rnacentral:rRNA from 1 species
UAGGGAAUCUUCCGCAAUGGACGCAAGUCUGACGGAGCAACGCCGCGUGAGUGAAGAAGGAUUUCGGUUCGUAAAACUCUGUUGUUAGAGAAGAACAGCGCAUAGAGUAACUGUUAUGCUUGUGACGGUAUCUAACCAGAAAGCCACGGCUAACUACGUGCCAGCAGCCGCGGUAAUACGUAGGUGGCAAGCGUUGUCCGGAUUUAUUGGGCGUAAAGCGAGCGCAGGCGGUCAAUUAAGUCUGAUGUGAAAGCCCCCGGCUCAACCGGGGAGGGUCAUUGGAAACUGGUUGACUUGAGUGCAGAAGAGGAGAGUGGAAUUCCAUGUGUAGCGGUGAAAUGCGUAGAUAUAUGGAGGAACACCAGUGGCGAAGGCGACUCUCUGGUCUGUAACAGACGCUGAGGCUCGAAAGCGUGGGUAGCAAACAGG